GAUGAACGCUGGCGGCGUGCCUAAUACAUGCAAGUCGAGCGAACGGACGAGAAGCUUGCUUCUCUGAUGUUAGCGGCGGACGGGUGAGUAACACGUGGAUAACCUACCUAUAAGACUGGGAUAACUUCGGGAAACCGUAGCUAAUACCGGAUAAUAUUUUGAACCGCAUGGUUCAAAAGUGAAAGACGGUCUUGCUGUCACCUAUAGAUGGAUCCGCGCUGCAUUAGCUAGUUGGUAAGGUAACGGCUUACCAAGGCAACGAUGCAUAGCCGACCUGAUAGGGUGAUCGGCCACACUGGAACUGAGACACGGUCCAGACUCCUACGGGAGGCAGCAGUAGGGAAUCUUCCGCACUGGGCGAAAGCCUGACGGAGCAACGCCGCGUGAGUGAUGAAGGUCUUCGGAUCGUAAAACUCUGUUAUUAGGGAAGAACAUAUGUGUAAGUAACUGUGCACAUCUUGACGGUACCUAAUCAGAAAGCCCCGGCUAACUACGUG
rnacentral:rRNA from 1 species